UACGGAAGGCAGCAGUGGGGAAUAUUGCACAAUGGGCGAAAGCCUGAUGCAGCUAUGCCGCGUGUAUGAAGAAGGCCUUAGGGUUGUAAAGUACUUUCAUCGGGGAGGAAAAACAAAACUAAGUAAUUUUAUUUCUUGACGUUACCCGAAAAAGAAGCACCGGCUAACUCCGUGCCAGCCAGCCGCGGUAAUACGGAGGGUGCUAGCGUUAAUCAGGAAUUACUGGGCGUUAAAAGAGCACGUUAGGUGGUUUUUUUAAAGUCAGAUGUGAAAUUCCCUGGGCUUAACCUGGAACUGCAUUUUGAAACUGAAAUACUAGAGUAUCGUAGAGGGAGGUAGAAUUCUAGGUGGUAGCGGUGAAAUGCGUAGAUAUCUGGAGGAAUACCUGUGGCGAAAGCGGCCUCCUAAACGGAAUACUCGACACUGAGGUGCGAAAGCGUGGGGAGCAAACAGGGAUUAGGAUACCCU
rnacentral:rRNA from 1 species